CUGCAACCCGACUCCNCGAAGUUGGAUUCGCUAGUAAUCACGCAUCAGCCAUGGCGCGGUGAAUACGUUCCCGGGCCUUGUACACACCGCCCGUCAAGCCAUGGGAGCCGGGGGCGCCUGAAGUCCGGGACCGCAAGGACCGGCCUAGGGCGAAACUGGUAACUGGGGCUAAGUCGUAACAAGGUAGC
rnacentral:rRNA from 1 species